rnacentral:rRNA from 1 species
UACGUAGGGUGCGAGCGUUGUCCGGAAUUAUUGGGCGUAAAGGGCUCGUAGGCGGUUUGUCGCGUCGGGAGUGAAAACCUCGGGCUUAACUCGGGGCUUGCUUUCGAUACGGGCAGGCUAGAGUUCGGUAGGGGAGACUGGAAUUCCUGGUGUAGCGGUGAAAUGCGCAGAUAUCAGGAGGAACACCGGUGGCGAAGGCGGGUCUCUGGGCCGAUACUGACGCUGAGGAGCGAAAGCGUGGGGAGCGAACAGG